rnacentral:lncRNA from 1 species
UGUUUGGAUCAAAACUUGAACUUUGGGCUCAAGGAAGGAGCUGGCCCAAAAGGAGGCCCAAAGGGAAAGAUAGCCAGAACCCAGUCAAAGCCCAGAAGGCAGAAAAAGGUCUUUUCUGACUUGGUGCAGCUCAUGAAGACCACUUGCUUACCUACCCAAAGGCCAAGUGGUGUGGACUGAUCAGCUACACAGCCCAUAAAGCACUUUACGGUGGCAUUACAUGUAAAAUAGUUGAUGAGUCAUCACCCUCAAACCGCAUUCGGGCAAGGCUGCUGCUACAGAAGGCCAAGCCGAGUUGUCUAUAUAAGAAGAAAGAAAAACCAGGAGUAGAGACACUCAAUCAAACAAACAAAUGCAAGCACAAACUCUGCUCAAAGCCAGAUUUGCCUUCAAAACAAAGCUGUAGUCAGCCUUCAUCCCUCUCGGGACAAGCCUUCAUCCCUCGCGGGAUAACCCUCCCUUCAAACCUUUGUAAUAGCUCUGCUACCUUGUUCACCCUGCUGUAGUAUCGAUUCAUCUUUUGUAAUCUCUCUCUCUAUCCCUCUAAGCUUUCAGACCCUUGACAAAACUACAAAGAUAGGAACCUACAAGACGAGCAACCUUACCUGAUAAGGUUUAACCUUGCCCGACCUUCUUUGCUUUGUUUUUGUCUUUUCAAUAUGUUGUAUACUUCCAGUUAUAUGCAAGUUAUUUCUAGCAAUAUGACUAUUAAAAGGCUUUCUCAGUACUUGAAUCCGAUUUGAAUAUAUCUUCAGUGUUCAAACCAGAUCCAAGUCCUAAGCCCUCGGGCAUGUAAAUUUGAUCAGUUAAAAGUCCUUGGCCUCAAGGCAUAAAAAAGAACCUUAUGUGGACUUAACCCAUCCACGACAGUCCUUGACAAACGAGAAGUCCGAAGUUACUUGGGGCGCAAGUAAUUGACCUACCCUCUAGUUUUAUUUCUAUUAUAUUAUGAUUACCAUAGAACGCUUGAGCAUGGAAUGGAUUCUGAUGGAAAGCCUCAAGGCCUACACCUAAGGCCCCACAAAGGCAUCCAUUUGGAUUCAUUCCGUUCUGCGAUCUAAAGAGUCUAAGUAUAAGAAUGAACUCUGAUGGGAAGCCUCAAGGCCUAUACUUAAGGCCCCACAAAGGCACCUAUUUGGGUUCAUUCUACUUCUUGGACUCGGGUAAUCAGAAGUAUAAUAGUUAGAAAACUCCGGCAAUCACGAGAACAAAUGUGAUGUGUUCGAGCACUGGUUUAGUUAUUGACGGGAAGCCUCAAGGCCUACACCUAAGGCCCCACAAAGGCACCUGUUAUAACUAACACGGUUUCUUGGAUACAUACAUAUAUACAACUAAAACGCGACAUCCAUUUUACAUCUGCCAUGCUAAAGAUGGCAGUGGCACGCCUAAGCACCUAAAAGUUAACCUUGAUUAUGAGCUUCAAGGCCUACACCUAAGGCCCCACAAAGGCACCUCUCAAAGUUAACGUUGUCCUUCUCUUUCAGCCUUGCCCGACGAGCCUUGCCCGAAGAGUCUUGCCCGACAAGACUUGCCCGACAACGCCCGACAGUGAAGCAGAAGCCCGACAGUAGCCCUCAACCGGCGUCAACCUCCAGGGGAGCUGUGUGCUCGUCGACCAGGAAACAUCCCCGACGGAAAUUCCUGACGCGAACAUAGUUUUGGCAUGCCCUGUGGGAUCAUAAACUUCUUAAUCUUGCAUGUCCAAAAAGAAAAGCCAUCAACUUGGCAAAAAGAAUCCGAAGGAAGGUCUUCUACAAAUGGCAGAUCAAUCAGAAAACCCUUCCUCCCCAUCAGGACAGGUGGUCCUAGAAAGCUCAACCGCAUCUGAGAGAUCGGAAGGAAAGGGAACUAGUGAAGAACUACAGGCCACUAUGAUCCAAGUGCUAAAAAGCAUGGAAAGAAUCUCCUUGGAAACCAAAGGAGAAGUGAGUAGGCUCUGUACACUAACAGGGAAUCUACAGAGAAGACUUGAUUUGGAGUUUUCUACUUUAAAAGGGGCUCAUGGAAGUGGGAUGAGCCAAGUUGUUAUGAGAAAUGAACCAAUCAUUCCCUUAUUCCCACUAUUAGAAGAAGAAAAAGAUAGGGGAAAGAAAAAGGUAGUUCCUAAAGGGAGUCAACCGAUGAUGGAGCCAGUUCUGGAGAAGGAGCUUCCCAGCUUCCCAUUAUUAUCAUUCAAUAAUAGGAAGCCAAGCGAGCAAGAGAGAACGAAGUACGGGAUGCCAGCUAUGAUGGGAGAGACUAGCGGAAAUGAGGGCUCCACUACUUCAGAUAACCCCCACCUUAUAGGCCACCCCCGUUGGUGAAUAAAGGUGAAGGAACUAGUUGUUGGAAGCCCGAACCAAGGAGGGAAGCAAGUGCGGGCAACGACCGGAGCCUAAAAAUCGAAUCUGCUCUCCUUGGCCAUAAUGAUAUUCUAGCCGCUCAGCAACUGAUGGAGAAAUUAGCUAAGUUGAGAAGGACGGUUGCUCAAAAUGCUCAACCGCGAGCUCGCCCAGUGUUCAGGAUCACUUACCAAAAACCUUAUCCUGAAUAUAUUGACGAGCUAAAUCCAUUCCCUCUCAACUUCAAGAUGCCCGCAUUUCCAACAUUCACAGGUGAAGAUAGCAGCGUGUCCUCCAGAGACCAUAUUUUCAAAUUCUCCAAUCAUUGCGUGGCAUAUGAGGACAAUCCAAAUUACAAAUUGAGGUUGUUUGGGAAUUCAUUGGUAGGGUUAGCAUCUCAGUGGUACUCUCUAUUGCCCCCUAACUCUAUCGCCAACUGGGGGCAAAUGGAGAUGGCUUUCCAUGAACAGUUCUACAGAAUAGAGCCAGAAUUGACUAUCAAUGACCUUGUUGAAGUCAAACAAUAUGAUCAUGAAUCUACUGAGGACUUCAUGAUGAGGUUCAAGAGAACAAGGAUGAGAUGCCAAUUUCCCGUCAACCAAGCGCAGCUCAUAUCGAUUGCUCAAAGGGCUUUGAAAUUACCUUUGAGGAAAAGAUUUUAUGAUGCACAAUUUAAUGAGCUGCAAGAAUUGGUAAUUGCUGCCACGAAGUAUGAGAGGCUGUUGCAAGAAGAGCAACAAGUGAAGCACACUUCCAAAGUUCCUCCUUUCUACAAAAAUAAGGUUGCAAUUCAUCGUGUGGAAGUGGGAGAAACCAAGCCAGAGCAUGAGGGUGGCCGUGAUGAAGAGGAUAUGGACGUGUGUGCCGCUGAGAUGACCACACAUUUCAAGCCAUUGACGGUAAAGGGGCUAGUCCAACCUGUCAAGGAUCAGAAGGUUGUAAUGAACGAUGGUGGUUUUGUCCCCAUAAAACCACCCAAAUACCAGAGUUAUUCGUUCGAUCUAUCCAAGGCACCUGAGAUCUAUGAAGAACUGGUACGGGCAAGAGUAAUCUUGCCCGACAAUGCCAAAAAAAUGCCCAAGCCGGAAGAACUCAGGGGGAAAAAGUAUUGUAAGGUGCAUUAUACCUUCAACCAUUCCAUAGUUAAUUGUGUCCAGUUUAGAGAUUGGAUACAAGAUCUUAUAGUGAAGGGGAAGCUGUUACUUGACUCGCCCCAAGCCAGUAUGAUGGUAGAUACUAACCCUUUCCCUGAGGCUCCUAUCAAUAUGAUCAACCUCAUUUUACAAGAGCCAGGGUCACCAUUUGGUACUGUCGGGAAAGAAAAGGGCCCGGGUUGUCCCUACACCUUUGCAUGAAUAAAGUGUCAUGAAAGGGAUCAAGGGACCAAGAUCAGGUCCUAAGAUUGGUGUUAUCAGGGGAAGAAGAAGAAAGUAAAUGAGGGGGGCAAAGAGUUGCCCAAAGUCAAUUCAAAACAGUACCAAAGAGCAGAGCAGGAAGCAAAUCACAUGUUCAUUCCAGUAAGAAAAGAGUUACAAAUCAUCCUAUUCUAAAAAAUUUACAUCUUCACAUAGGGUGAUUAUUCGAGAAUGAUAUGUUUGCAUAAUGGCAAAAAUCCUACUGGGUUCGGCCAAAACAGUAUGGUUAUUUACAAGUUGAGACCGGGCACGCUCUAACUCCGAGUUUGACUUCUCCAUUCCCUCAAUUUGGUUUUCAAGGGUAUCUAGAAGAGUUGCUUGUUCUGCUUUAAUAGCAACCAAUUGUUCCUCCAGCUUUUGGAUUUUAGAAGUAACAACUCUGACCAUUUCUUUUGUCUGCAAGCUUUCUUCCAUCAACCGAUCAACUUGGGCAGAGGUGCUUGAUUCUUUCUCCAUGAAGCAUUUUGCCCGAUUAGCCUGUCUGUCCGCUCUCUGGUAUUGUUCCCUAAGAGCUCUCAGGUUCUCAAAGAAAGAUAGAAAAGAAUCAUGUUGAGGUUUUGAUAGCCGACCGGCUUUGAAAGACUCAGUUAUGAUCUUCUCAAAAUCACAAAGAGCCUUGAGGCUGAAUGAAGCGGUGAAAUCCUUCUUUGCCCAUUCCUGAAUGACUCGCUGUUGCUCUGAAGAAAUGGGGGUAGCUGAAGAUUGUUUUGAAGAUUUCAACCGUGUCUCAAGCCGUCCAAGUGCUUCGAAAGGUCUGGGCAACUUAGCAGGGUUUGGAGAUGCGAAAGGAGGAGGAUCCUGCACUGCAGCUUCCUCUAAUGAAGGAAUGCCCAUUAAGGGGGCAAUUUCUGCCUGCCCGAUCUGCUCAAUUCCAGAAGGGGGAAUCGCAGUACCUCCAGAAGAUGAGUGAGGAUGGGAGCGCUUUGAUUUGCGGACCAGAUGGGGGGGAAGUUUCUCUUGGAGCUUGCUGCAGAAAGCCAAAAGACCAGGUCAAGACAAUUUGAAUACAGUUUAAGGCAAAAGAGGAUUUGGAGAGAUGAAAUGUACCUGACUCAGCCCUGGGGUUUCACCAGGAAGAAGACUAAUUCCUGGUUGGCGGGAAAAUUCCUCACCACCAGUAGGAGAGUGAUGAGCUGCACCUGAACCUGUACCAGUGCCCUAGAGGUACCCAGAGAUAGCAGUAAUUAUCAGUAAGUAGAGCAUAAGAGAAAGAACAAGAAGAAAAUACUCCCAUACCUGAGUUUGGUCUUGAGGAGGAAAAAGAGGUUUAUCAACUGUCGGGCAAGCAAAUACCCGCGAAAUUGCUACCUCUGAAGCUACAGGGAUCUCAGGGACUAUGGGUUCAUUAUCUGAAACCACUAUUGUAGGAGGUGGCUCAUAUACCGGAGAAGGCUGUAGAGAACGUGAGUAAAAGUUAGUUGGGAAUCAAUGUACAGAAGUUCAAUAUGGAAUAUGUGACUCACCAAGUUACUAUCCUCAUCCACGAAAUGCAACAUAACUCCUGUAGAUGGAUCGAAUUGAGAAGAAGGGGUUGCGUCCAGAGUAGUAGAAUAAGUCAUAGACCUUAGAGAAGGGCCAUGACAAGGCAAGGAAGCAGAUGCUCCAGCCUAAAAAUAUUCAGACAUUAGGUCCAGAAGUUGGAAAGUUAUCCAAGAAUUAGAAGAGAAGAAAAAGCACCUCUGAAGGGUCGACCUGGGAGGGAGAUAAGCUUGUCUCUCGGGCAAAUUGUGGAGAGGCUUCCGGCGGAGAGAGCUUUUCCUUUCUUGCGGCCUGAGUCAAAUAAUCAGAUUUGGAGUUAUAUGAGAGCAAGAAGAGGCCUAAAGAAAAAUAUAUAAAUCAUACCUCAAGUUCUCUGAGGGCAGUAUUUUGCAGUUCUUCGGCCUUUUUGAGCAUUGCAGCUCUCAGUGGUUCCUCCUUAGAAGCAAGGAUUGGUCUUUUAGAUGCUUGGGGUCAUGUUCGCCGGUAAAUGAGACAAUUAGAUAAAGGAGAAAGGUAACAGUUUGAUGAAGAAAAACAGAAACUCACUUGAGGAUUGUUGCUUCUUUCUGCCUGCCUCAGGAACUGGAGCAGAUAGGGCUGAUGACUUAGGAGGAGCGGUAGUUUCUUGCUCUCUUACUUUUUCUAGUAAGAGUUGGUCGUGUGGUUUUGGGUAGAGGUACUGGAUCAGGAUCUGAAGUCUUAAUCACAUCCGCUUUCUUUCGCUUAGGUGCUUUAAUAAGUACCUCGGGUGUUUCUUCAGCUCCUGAAUCCCCAAAGGAUUCUGAAACAUCUGCACCCUCCCCAGCUUCUCGUCUCCCAGCCUCUGCGGCAGCUCCAUGAAGAAUUGCAGCAUCAGCAGAGUCAUCAUCGGAUUCAAUGACUUCCGAUUCAACAUCCACUAGAGCUGCAGAAUUCAGCAAAAGUAAGGAUAGAAGGACUCCAGAAGGGAAGCAAAAUCAGAUUGAAAGAGAAGUACCUAUCAGAAGUGACCGAUUCUUUUCUUGGAUCAUCUCCUUCCAAUUUUCAAGUUCGCCCGAGCCAGGGUAUGACUUAAGUGAAAGUUGGUUGAAAGGGCGAUCGUGAGUCUCUUUCAAAUCUCCUUCAUACUUCUUAGUCCAUUUGUCUUCCCACCAAGAAGAGAAGAGCGAGGUGCACCCAAAAUUGAGAAUGAUGGACUUUCGGGCCGCUUGACUCAUUACGUCAAGACUGCGUCGGGCAGCUCGGAAUGUCACUUCAGAUGGAGUUGGUAACCGGAAUGAAGUGCCACAAUGGACAGAGUCGAAGAACGGGACAGGAAUGGCCUGUCUAAAUCCUAACUGCCUGCUGCAAAAGUUAGGAUGGUACACUUCCAAGCCUCGGUCAUAUCUAUUACCCCGAACUCCCCAGGUCAGGUCUCUCGGUUGAAUGCAACUAAUAAAUAUCUCCCUGCAAAAGGGGGUAGCAUCCUCGCCAGGGGCAUCUUGAAAGACUUGGUCAGAAAACCAACGAUAUCUUCUUAAGACCGACGCACCCCAUUCUAAAUCUGAUCGAGUCCUACAAACUCUGAAGAAAUAGAAGCAGGUAAAUGUGGAAUGAUCUAUAGGGGCAGCUUCAGCCAGGAUUCAGGCAGGGGCCACACCCUCCGGGAACUCCAGAUUUGCAGCCCGAAAUUCUGGAAAGUACCAUUGAAGCCAAGUCUGUAUCAUCCAUAUAGGCCCAUUCAAGUUGGUCUCAAAUGGCUCGCCUUGAGUCAUUUCGAAAAGAAGAUGAUAAAGAUGGGAAAGGAGGAAUGGACCUGUAACUACAUCAUCAAAGUUGUGAAGAGCUUCUACUAAGGGGAUCCAUUCAACCCUCACCCCUUUAGAUUUGUUGGGGAAGAUGUGCUUGUUGAGCCAGUAUAAGAGGAAAUACAUAUGCUCCUGAUCUUUAUCAACCCGAGGUGAGCCCACCCCAAAAUUCUCCUUUACGAAGGGGAUGAAUCCUUUGAAGGAGGUCCCAUAACUCUUGAAAGUUGCAGAGUUAUAGUUCAAAGAGAGGAAGGCAGCAGAUGAACUUGAGCUUCAAGUGGUAGAGGACGGAACCCAGUCUUGAGUAACGUCCACUAUCCUGCCCGAGGGCCUUAAGCCGAAAACCUGAGCCAUGUCAAGAAUGGUGGGAGACAUGGGGCCCAUACGGAAGUCAAAAGUAUUCGUGCCCGAAUUCCAGAAAAGGAGGGCAGAAACAAGCAGUUCGGGCUUGGGAAUAAUAGAGGUCUUCGAAAGCAUGAUUAACUCAUAAAUACCAUUACUCAUCCAUUUCCUCUUAAAAGUAGGCUCUAAAUCAUCAAUCCAUUGAGCCCAGGCAGGAUCGUUCAUCAGAGGAAAGCCUCGACGAUAUGAUGACCAUUUGGAGGAAGAGAUGCCCGACCUAGCCGAGUAGGGAUUUGGGGAAAACCAGUUAUCUCUAGGCAUGUUGCUUUCCACCACUGAAGGGACUCGAGAAAUCCAGGCGGGACCCAAUGAUUGUACCCCAUGCACCUCAAAGAAAAGCUCGGAAUGCAGACCUGCCCGAGGGCGAUGCAGCCCAUUGAGUAGACGACGCAGAGUGGCAAUUCCUUCGCCAGAUUCGUAAGAGGGUUGGGUUUGGCUAGAUUCUGCAAUCAUUUGAGAAAGUUCGAGAAGGGAAUACCAAGGAAGAUGAUGAGGGCAAAACCUUAGAGAAGGAUUUCUUGCUGUGAAUACAGGGGAUUGAGGAGUUCAACCGCAAGGGGUUCGUGGGUUUUAUAAAAACCCUUUUUCAAUCAAUAUUGGCGCCUGGAAUUCCAGGCUAAAUAUUAAUUGAAGGGGGCACUGUUUGGAUCAAAACUUGAACUUUGGGCUCAAGGAAGGAGCUGGCCCAAAAGGAAAGAUAGCCAGAUCCCAGUCAAAGCCCAAAAGGCAGAAAAAGGUCUUUUCUGACUUGGUGCAGCUCAUGAAGACCACUUGCUUACCUACCCAAAGGCCAAGUGGUGUGGACUGAUCAGCUACACAGCCCAUAAAGCACUUUACGGUGGCAUUAACAUGUAAAAUAGUUGAUGAGUCAUCACCCUCAAACCGCAUUCGGGCAAGGCUGCUGCUACAGAAGGCCAAGCCGAGUUGUCUAUAUAAGAAGAAAGAAAAACCAGGAGUAGAGACACUCAAUCAAACAAACAAAUGCAAGCACAAACUCUGCUCAAAGCCAGAUUUGCUUUCAAAACAAAGCUGUAGUUAGCCUUCAUCCCUCUCGGGACAAGCCUUCAUCCCUCGCGGGAUAACCCUCCCUUCAAACCUUUGUAAUAGCUCUGCUACCUUGUUCACCCUGCUGUAGUAUCGAUUCAUCUUUUGUAAUCUCUCUCUCUAUCCCUCUAAGCUUUCAAACCCUUGACAAAACUACAAAGAUAGGAACCUACAAGACGAGCAACCUUAACUGAUAAGGUUUAACCUUGCCCGACCUUCUUUGCUUUGUUUUUUUCUUUUUAAUAUGUUGUAUACUUCCAGUUAUAUGCAAGUUAUUUCUAGCAAUAUGACUAUUAAAAGGCUUUCU